rnacentral:rRNA from 1 species
UACGUAGGGGGCAAGCGCUGUCCGGAAUCAUUGGGCGUAAAGCGCGCGUAGGCGGCCCGGUAAGUCCGUUGUGAAAGUCAGAGGCUCAACCUCUGGAGGCCAAUGGAUACUGCCAGGCUAGAGUCCGGAAGAGGCGAGUGGAAUUCCUGGUGUAGCGGUGGAAUGCGCAGAUAUCAGGAGGAACACCAAUGGCGAAGGCAGCUCGCUGGGACGGUACUGACGCUGAGGUGCGAAAGCGUGGGGAGCGAACAGG